GGGGGUGAUAUGGUUUCGACGGGGUUACCGGGGAUUAAUCUGCGCGCCGUAAUUGCGCCAGCCCAAUCAAACAAUUGCAGACCGAUUAGCUGGUAAUUAUCCUUAGUCUCUCGGCGGUGCGUUAGACGAGAAUAAAUGAAAGAACACGCGCGUAGACGAUUAGUUGUCGAUUUCUUCGGACCGGUUCGAUUCCCCCCACCUCCACCA
rnacentral:tmRNA from 1 species